AGGACGAACGCUGGCGGCGUGCUUAACACAUGCAAGUCGAGCGGUAAGGCCUUUCGGGGUACACGAGCGGCGAACGGGUGAGUAACACGUGGGUGAUCUGCCCUGCACUUCGGGAUAAGCCUGGGAAACUGGGUCUAAUACCGGAUAUGACCUCCUAUCGCAUGGUGGGUGGUGGAAAGAUUUAUCGGUGCAGGAUGGGCCCGCGGCCUAUCAGCUUGUUGGUGGGGUAAUGGCCUACCAAGGCGACGACGGGGUAGCCGACCUGAGAGGGU
rnacentral:rRNA from 1 species